rnacentral:lncRNA from 1 species
CACCCAUUAAAUCUCAUGGACACCUCAUUUCAGUUAUCUUUGCUUUCCGGGGGGUACUGGAAUGGUUGGAGCAGGGAGCCAAUACUCUGUUUUUUUAAAAAAUUGAACUUUUUAUUUUGAGAUAGUUGUAGACUCACAUGCAAUUGUAAGAAACACAGAGAUCCAAUGUACCUUUUACCUAAUUGUCCCCAGUGGUAACAUCUGGCGAAACUAGUCCAAUUUCACAAUGUAGAUAUUGACCUUGAUACAGUCAAGACACAGAGCACCCCCACCCCCGUGAGGAUUCAUUCUGUUGCCCUUUUACAGGCACAGCCACUUUCUUCUCACCCCACCCCUUCCUUAAGUCCUGACAACUACUCAUCCUGUCUUCAUUUCUGUAAUUUUGUCAUUUCACAAAUGUUAUAUAGAUGAAAUCAUACAGUCUGUGACUUUUGAAAUUGUCUUUCCUUCACUGAGCUUAA